AUCGCUUCUCGGCAUUUUGGCUAAGAUCAAGUGUAGUAUCGCUUCUCGGCCUUCUGGCUAAAAUCAAGUGUAGUAUCGCUUCUCGGCCUUCUGGCUAAGAUCAAGUGUAUACUCCGUUUAACCUUA
rnacentral:snRNA from 1 species